UUUUUUAUUUUUUAGAAAAGCUUUGCAUUUCUAAAAUAUAUCUAUAUGUAAAAUACCUUUAUAAAAUAAUUGUUUCGGGUUCGAAUUUUUGGGUUCGGGUUCGGGUUUGGAUUUCGAAUUUUUUGAUCGGGUUUGGAUUUAGAUAUAGAUUUUUAAAUCCGUUGGGCUCAGGUUUGGAUUCGGGUUUCGGGUUUAGAGUCAAAUUCAGGUUCGGAUUUUUGAAAAUCCGUCCCGAAUCCAACCCGUUGACAUCCCUAGGUAGAAGCAUUUUCAUUUUAGUUGAGAAAAAU
rnacentral:lncRNA from 1 species